rnacentral:ncRNA from 1 species
GGUUAAGUGAAUAAGGGCGCAUGGUGGAUGCCUUGGCACUAGGAGCCGAUGAAGGACGGGACUAACACCGAUAUGCUUUGGGGAGCUGUAAGUAAGCUUUGAUCCAGAGAUUUCCGAAUGGGGGAACCCAACAUCUUUUAUAGGAUGUUACUUAUUAGUGAAUACAUAGCUAAUAAGAGGUAGACGCAGAGAACUGAAACAUCUAAGUACCUGCAGGAAGAGAAAGAAAAUUCGAUUCCCUGAGUAGCGGCGAGCGAAACGGGAAAAGCCCAAACCAAGAUGCUUGCAUCUUGGGGUUGUAGGACUCCGAUAUGGUAGUUUUUUCAGAUAGUUGAAUGACUUGGAAAGGUCAGCUAAAGAGGGUGAAAGCCCCGUAGACGAAAUGUGAGAGACACCUAGGAGGAUCCUGAGUACGGCGGAACACGAGGAAUUCCGUCGGAAUCCGGGAGGACCAUCUCCCAAGGCUAAAUACUCCCUAGUGACCGAUAGUGAACCAGUACCGUGAGGGAAAGGUGAAAAGCACCCCGGAAGGGGAGUGAAAUAGAUCCUGAAACCAUGUGCCUACAACAAGUUAGAGCCCGUUAAUGGGUGAUAGCGUGCCUUUUGUAGAAUGAACCGGCGAGUUACGAUUGCAUGCGAGGUUAAGUUGAAGAAACGGAGCCGUAGCGAAAGCGAGUCUGAAUAGGGCGAAUGAGUAUGUAGUCGUAGACCCGAAACCAUGUGAUCUACCCAUGUCCAGGUUGAAGGUGCGGUAAAACGCACUGGAGGACCGAACCCACGUACGUUGAAAAGUGCGGGGAUGAGGUGUGGGUAGCGGAGAAAUUCCAAACGAACUUGGAGAUAGCUGGUUCUCUCCGAAAUAGCUUUAGGGCUAGCGUCGAAGUUGAGAAUGAUGGAGGUAGAGCACUGUUUGGACUAGGGGCCCAUCUCGGGUUACCGAAUUCAGAUAAACUCCGAAUGCCAUUCAUUCAUAUUCGGCAGUCAGACUGUGAGUGAUAAGAUCCAUAGUCGAAAGGGAAACAGCCCAGACCACCAGCUAAGGUCCCAAAAUAUAUGUUAAGUGGAAAAGGAUGUGGGGUUGCACAGACAACUAGGAUGUUGGCUUAGAAGCAGCCACCAUUUAAAGAGUGCGUAAUAGCUCACUAGUCGAGUGACCCUGCGCCGAAAAUGUACCGGGGCUAAACAUAUUACCGAAGCUGUGGAGUGCACCAUUAGGUGCAUUGGUAGGAGAGCGUUCUAAGGGCGUUGAAGG